UACGAAGGGGGCUAGCGUUGCUCGGAAUUACUGGGCGUAAAGCGCACGUAGGCGGCUUUCUAAGUCGGGGGUGAAAUCCUGGAGCUCAACUCCAGAACUGCCUUCGAUACUGGAGAGCUCGAGUCCGGGAGAGGUGAGUGGAAUUCCCGGUGUAGCGGUGAAAUGCGCAGAUAUCGGGAGGAACACCAAUGGCGAAGGCAGCUGCUGGGACGGUACUGACGCUGAGACGCGAAAGCGUGGGGAGCAAACAGG
rnacentral:rRNA from 1 species